AAGUAUUGAAUGGCCGCAGUAUUUUAACUGUGCUAAGGUAGCAUAAUCAUUUGUCUUUUAAUUGAGGGCUGGAAUGAAGGGUUGGACGAAGUAUUAUCUUUCUUUAAUUUAGUUUUAAGAAUUUAAUUUUUAAGUUAAAAAGCUUAAAUUUAUUUGUUGGACGAGAAGACCCUAUAGAUCUUUAUAAUUCUUUUGUUUUAACAGUUUAGUGAUUUAUAUAUGUUUAGAAUAAAGGUGAUUAUUUUGUUGGGGUGACUGUAGAAUUGGAAUAACUUCUAUUAUAUUUUUUCAUUGAUUUAUGUUAUUUUUGAUCCAUAUUUUAUGAUUAUAAGAUUAAGUUACCUUAGGGAUAACAGCGUAAUUUCCUCGGAGAGUUCAUAUUGAUGAGGGAGUUUGCGACCUCGAUGUUGGAUUAA
rnacentral:rRNA from 1 species